GACGAACGCUGGCGGCGUGCCUAAUACAUGCCAGUCGAGCGAAAAGACGCGAAGCUCGCUUCUCUGAUGUUAGCGGCGGACGGGUAAGUAACACGUGGAUAACCUUCCUAUUAGACUGAGAUAACUUCGGGAAACCGGAGCACAUACCGGAUAACAUUUUGAACCUCAUGGUUCAAAAGUGUAAGCCGUUCAUGCUGUGACUUCUACAUAGCACCGCGCUGCAUUAGCUAGUUGGUAAGGUAACGGCUUACCAAGGCAACGAUGCAUAGCCGACCUGAGAGGGUGAUCGGCCACACUGGAACUGAGACACGGUCCAGACUCCUACGGGAGGCAGCAGUAGGGAAUCUUCCGCAAUGGGCGAAAGCCUGACGGAGCAACGCCGCGUGAGUGAUGAAGGUCUUCGGAUCGUAAAACUCUGUUAUUAGGGAAGAACAUAUGUGUAAGUAACUGUGCACAUCUUGACGGUACCUAAUCAGAAAGCCACGGCUAACUACGUG
rnacentral:rRNA from 1 species